rnacentral:rRNA from 1 species
AGUGGAAGCGUCUGGAAAGGCGCGCGAUACAGGGUGACAGCCCCGUACACAAAAGCGCAUGUGCUGUGAGCUCGAUGAGUAGGGCGGGACACGUGGUAUCCUGUCUGAAUAUGGGGGGACCAUCCUCCAAGGCUAAAUACUCCUGACUGACCGAUAGUGAACCAGUACCGUGAGGGAAAGGCGAAAAGAACCCCGGCGAGGGGAGUGAAAAAGAACCUGAAACCGUGUACGUACAAGCAGUGGGAGCACAGGUUUACCUGUGUGACUGCGUACCUUUUGUAUAAUGGGUCAGCGACUUAUAUUCUGUAGCAAGGUUAACCGMAUAGGGGAGCCGGAGGGAAACCGAGUCUUAAYYGGGCGUUAAGUUGCAGGGUAUAGACCCGAAACCCGGUGAUCUAGCCAUGGGCAGGUUGAAGGUUGGGUAACACUAACUGGAGGACCGAACCGACUAAUGUUGAAAAAUUAGCGGAUGACCUGUGGCUGGGGGUGAAAGGCCAAUCAAACCGGGAGAUAGCUGGUUCUCCCCGAAAGCUAUUUAGGUAGCGCCUCGUGAAUUCAUCUCCGGGGGUAGAGCACUGUUUCGGCUAGGGGGCCAUCCCGGCUU